rnacentral:snoRNA from 1 species
CUGAGUUGGAUGCCUGGGAGGUCACAUUUCCAUGGCUGUAUCCAAAUGGCACCCAGAGCAUAAGGGCUCUGCCCCCCUGAUAUACCAAUCCCUUUCCACAGUGUUGGAGAAUCUGGGUCUGAGUCUGGGUCUCUACGUUCCUAGGACUUCACAAAGUCCUAUGGACAAUGACUGAGAGACAAACCCAUGUAGGAAGGCAAUU